UCAUCCUGAUCAGUCGCAUUUCGAAAUAUCUCCAAGAGCAUCUUAAUUUUCUUUCCGCUGCGAAUACGUUAUAAAAAGAAAUCCUAUUUAUGCUCGUAAGCUUUACCUAACAAUGAACAGCAGCAUGUUGUCCUGAAAUAAAUCAAUACGCUCUUAGGGAAAUACUUAUCGAUAAUCUUCAGCGAUUUCUGAGCAGAAAAGAGCGGACCAGAACUGAGUUUUACUUCUUCAGAAACAGCUGUUUCCUUUUCUUUUAAGCAACUCAAGAGACAAUACAAGGCCAUUUCGAUCAGAAACACAGCUCUUGCCAGAUCGUUUCAUCUAUAGAGAGAUGGCCAAAUUUUUUGCAGAAAUCGUGACGAUGUUUUUUCUUCUUGUGUUUGUUUUGAGAAUCGCUAGUGGAAUGAGUUGUGGUCAGUGUCGGAAUGACGUCAGUUUUCAAUCAAGACCCGGAUGUUAUCAUUGUUUGCAGAGCAUGGAAUCUUUAAUGAAAAGAAACAAACCUUCAACCUCUCUCCGAGACAUCUUGGAUUCUAUUCGCAUUCAGCAACAAAAUAAACCCAUCUUGACAUCAAUUGAUAAACAAGAGUUUAUCAACUCGAUUCUUCGCGUCUUUCAAGAUGACUCACUAGACUACAUGCCCCAGUCAUGAUCCUAGUAUCAUGGAGAUGGACGUAGAAGAUGAAGACAUCGAAAAAUAUUUCUUGAAAGACUGAAUUUUAUUUCUUUUUGUACAAUAACCGAGAAUUUAAAAUGAGCAAAGUUGGAAGAAAAGAGAUAAUUUAACAUUUUAGUGUACCUUGUAUAAUUAUUUACGCAUGUAAUUGAAUGGUUGCAAUUUGUGAUAUUCAUAAUGACAAUCAAAAAUUAUUCUUUUAUGACAUGAAAUAUAAGUUUGUCAAUAAACAGCUGCAACAAGCUGAUCCCGUUGAUAAUUUUUGUCAUGCAGAUUUAGAUACGCUUUUUUUAAGUUUUGAAUAAAUAAAAUGUUCUUCCAAUUGCGUAAUUAAUGGAAAUUAUUCAUUCAAACAAACUACAUUCUAAUACUUCAAUUACAGAGAUCAUCCAGCUUCUUUGGUGCAACUUAAUACUUGGUAAUAUUGGCUGUAAUAAAAAAAGAGGUGUUUAACAUGAUUAGAUAGAUAAGACGGGUAAGAUAAUAUGAAAUUAUAACUGCAUUCGUAAUCGUUGAGAUGUAAUAUUGGUAAAAAUUGUGGUAUAUAAAACUGAGGGAAGAUCAUAAAGAGGUAUUUAGGACUUACAGUGAUGUAUAUUUAUAAACAAUGCAGCAACAUCUCACACAAGUUCUGAAUAUGCGUUAUAGCUAUAAUAUGAUUAUUGAUGUAGCAUUGUGUAGCAAAAUACGACCUGUAGUCGAUUUCUUCAUUUACUAUUAUCAUAAUAUAGGACCUUUCACUUAAGUAAUACAUACAAUGGAAAGGAUAAGCAAUCUAAAGAUUAGAUGAAGUAAAAGCUUGCUUAACAUCAAAUAGCUUUCUGUUUUGAAUAGUUUUCCACUAGUGCAUGUAAACUAACACGUUUAUAUUCCGUCGCCUGGCUGGCAGAAGGGCGUUGGCACUAAAUCGCCUCCAACUUUUAUGAAACUGACUUAUUUCCGAACACAAUUUGUGGCCGUGUUCUGUUAUAACAUUUCUAUUAGUUUUUUAAAGUUUUUAAAUCAUUUUCGGGACGGAAAUUAGUUUAAAUAUAUAACAAAUCUUUAAAUGCGAAUAAUUCGAAAUGUAGUUUUCGAGUCGCUCGCGCGCCAACGCCCUUCUGCCAGCCGGGUGACGGCAGGUUAUAUAGGUUGUAUGAUCGACAGGUUAACAUGGUUUAAAGAAUGCUAUUUAAUAAAAAAAAAAAGAAAAAAGGUGUUCUUAAAAAUAUCUUUAAAGAUAUGAAAAUGCUGUGUUGUAGGAUUAGUUUUUUAAAUCAAAGAUCAACAUGUCCAUCUGCCUUUCGUCCACAAAUUGAAUCGCUUGAUUCCUGAUUGUCACGAAUUUGAUCUGUGAAUAAAAACGUAAGAUCAGUCUA
rnacentral:lncRNA from 1 species